UAUAAUUCUACAGCUUCUCUAGUGUUGAUGAUGCACAACAAACUUGGCCAGACAAUUUUAAUUGAUGAGGGAAUCGAUGAAAACAGAGGCCGAAUCACAGCAUCAGAAAUGAAUAUUGCAGUAGAUGAGAAAUUUCUGCAAAUGACAUCCAGAUCUUCCAGAGAAGGCCAAAUUUAAGAAACUUUUACUUCUGAGUAAAAGGUGCAUGUUAGCCUUCUACUUCUGAGUAAGAAACCCUUUUUUUUUUUCAGAAAAGGUAAAUGUUGGCAUAAAAAUGUGACAGGAUUGCUUCAUGUACAUGAUCUUUAUUUCAGUUUCAUUUGACAAUCAUAUAAUCCACUACUACAUUCUUUUACAGGCGGAAACACAAAAAAGGUAUACCAAACAUUAGUUACUUAUCCAGCAAUUCGUCAACUCCAGCCGAAAAGGUUUAAGUAAAAAGUGGUUCAUAAUCAUUGGAUUUCAUUUACUUACACGUUUGGUGGUUGGUGGCUGAGUAGGAUGCUUCUAUUAGUGCGCUACUGCUAAUAAACUAAUGGCCAUCUAAUCUAAGAUGAAAGGGCGCUUAUCCAAAGAAAACAGUUCAUAAAAAGAUCCAAAGUGGGGCUGGGUAACAUCGAUGAAAAAGUUAAUGAAGUGAGAAGUUAACCUACCGGCAACAUUGAUGUUUUCCACAAUGUAAAGGACAUUGUCCUCGUUAAUCUCUCCCUUCUGCUGUGCUUCAAGAAUAUGAUCAAUGGCACAUUUUAGGCUGUUGCUAUCCAUGCUUGUUGUGCUUGCAAGCUUCCUGCAACCCAAAAAUACAAAGUAAGAAGCCAAGCUAUUAAGACUGUGACUAUUCAUUUGAUUCCAGUUUGUGCUGCAAAACAAGCAAGGCUGAAAGAAAAAAAAAUGGAAAACUAAUAAUCAUACUUCAUUUCUGUUUGUUGAAAAAAAUAUAAUACAAAUCAUUUCCAAGUCCUAGGAAAACAUUCCCACAAGCUAUCCAUACCUCAUAUUACAGCAAGAAGUACCAAUUUUGUUUUUUCUAGUUAAAUAAACAAGCAACGCUUAUCUUUUCUUUGUUUGUGAGAGGUUGUCACGGUCAAACGCAUAAACGAAAUAUCGCUAGAAAGUUUGAACACGAAUCAGCCGACCCGACGUCAAAAGGACAACAAAUGCAUAAGACAAAAAGAUUCACUGAGCCAAAAAAAAAAAAAAAAAAAUUCUUGGAUCAAACUAGACAUCCCAACUCCUAAGGGCUAAGAUGCAUUUACAGGUCAGAAUCCAGAAACUCCUAAACUUUUCUUUAUUAGCACAUCUCCAGAAAAGGGUUUUCCCUAAAUACUCCAUCAAUCAUAAUACAUACUCUAUCCAAAUAAUACUCUACAGUAAUUAUUCCAAAUAAUAAAUAUAUCCUUAGUUAAUCUAGGAGACUUUUAAAAAAAAAAAAGUGCUACUUAUGUUAAUCGAACUACAUUAGAUCAAUGGAGUUUCAGAUAAGUAAUGUAUGAAGAGAAAAGUUCAGAAACUAAAACUUACUUCCUUUCGUCAACGAAGUGAUCCUUGAACAGCUGCAGUCUCCUCUCCUUAACCUCCUUACAGAUCUUCAAGUAACCCCUCAAGAAAGGCCUCAAGAUGGGAAUGAAAUCACCGUAAUUAUAUUCGAAGCUCUGAGCCAGCCUACUCCUCUCUCCGUUCAAAGCCUUAAGCUUAUUAAACAGAGGAUCAUCCUCGCUCUCAAAUCGGUAAUCAAACAUGAUUCGGUACAUAUUAUUGUACAUCAUGAGCUGCAACCUCCUCCUCAAGACAAUCCCAUUGGUGGAGGAUUCAGGGUUCUUCUUAACAUCCUCCACGACACGGGCAACCUCUGCCUCCCAACCGUGCCUAUACUGCUGAACAACUUUGUUAGUGAAAAAGGGGACAGUCAUAAUCCUUCUCAUCUUCCUCCAAUGCUCGCCGUAGACGGUGAAGACCAUAUCCUGGCCUUUGCCGGUGAAUAUAUCAAACACCACAUUUCUGGUGCGGGAGCCGAACUCCACCCCCUGGGUGUGCAAGACAUCUUUGGCAAGUUCAGGGGAUGAUACCACCACAAGAUUGCGCUGGCCCAUUCUCAGAAGAAAGAUUUCUCCAAAUUUCUUGGCGUAGUCAGUGAGGUUGCGAUGGUUCAAAUCAUCACCAAUUUGUAACCAGUUUCCGAAAAUGGGAACUGGGAUUGGGCCUGGAGGGAGCUUGAAUUUCUUGCCCCGUAAUUUAGAAACAACGAUGGCAACUAUGAUGGCUGCAAACAGUCCCAAAAGGGUCUUCUCUAGCAGGAGAAGAUCCAUGACGGUGUGGAGGGCGGUUUGUGAUGGAAUCAACUGAGAGUGGGAGGUUUGGUUUGGUUGAGUGGGUUGGGUGAUGGAGUGGAAUUGGUGCCGGAGUGACUAUAAUUUAUAGCAGGGUUGGGGGGCAGUUGUCUAGUUGUCUUUUUUUUUUUUUGUGGUUUCUCUUUUUCAUUGGAGGAGGUAGGUGGCGGAUGGAGUGGUAGUAGUAAGUAGUAAGUGGGGUCGGUGAAGGUGGGUGGGCCUUUGACGGCGUCAGAAUUUUUGGACGUCGAGAAGGGAAGAUAGAGGCGAGGGGCGAGAAUGGUAGGGGGAACGAUAAGGGAGUUGAAACUUGCAAAGGGAAGUAGGUGGGCGGGUUUGGUGAGCGGGAAAUUUGCCAAUAUAUAAGUUGAAAUUGAUUAACUUAUUUUGUCAUCAUGGUUUGUGCGAGGUGUGGGGACUGGGAACGAUGAUGUCAAAUUAUUAGGUGCUGCAAUCAAAAGUUGCCGUACCUUUGAUUCUAAUCCUCGUGGGUCAUCAGCAGGCACGACACUUUUUGCUUAGAUUGUAAAUUUUUAACCAAAAAAAAUGUUUACAUUUUUCAUAGAUACAUUUUCAUCAAACAUAUAUUAAAUUAUUACAUCACAUGUUUUUUUAUAAAAUUUUCAAAAAAGACAACCCAAACACAAGAUCUAAAACUUUAGAACGGAGAAUUUAUUUGGAUUAGUAUUACUUCUCGUAUAUUAUAUUAUACAAGUCGAAUGAACUCUACUCAUUUUAGUGCUCAAUGACAAGUGUUUCAAUUUUUUAAGCUAAAAAUGCUGGAACGUGGCAGAAUCAACGACAAGUGUUACAAUUAGUUUGCCAAAUUAAUUACGCAAGUGUUACGCCUCAAAUGUUCGUGCCAUAAAUGCGGAAACGCGCCAAAAUCAGACGGAAUUGACGAGGGCUUACGAGCCUUUAGCAAGGAAGCAAAAAAGGAACAUUGCCGCCGAUAUAAGUCGAGAAAAGGACCGACCGCUCCCUUGUCAAGUAAAGGCCAAAGGGUUGUGCAUUCUAAUCUUGAUGCCGGUACGAGCAUUUUAUUGAUAAAUGAACUCUUAUAAGUGACUUUAAUUUCAAAGGGAAUGAUUUGACUCAUAAUGAUAAUAGGAGUCAGACACGCUUGAAUUUUUUUCCUACCAAAUAAUGCACUAUCUAAUUGUCUACGAAAAGCCUUUUCAACAACAAAUAAAUGAAGCAAGUAAUGCACUUUUUUUUUUUUUUGCAACUUCACCAUUUUGUAUGAAUGACAAGGAAGCACUUAAAAUCAAAUUUUGAGUUAUUGUAUCUACGUACACAUCAUUGUGGGAAAAUUUAUUCAUAAUCACAUGUAACACAUCCUAAAUAAGUACUGCCCUACUAUUUGUAUAAGGUUUCUGUUGAACCAAAACAGGUUAAUCCUACGUUUGUAUCACUUUUGACAUCCACUCAUCAGGAAUCGAAUAUCCGUAACAUUUAAUUCACAAUCUACCGGUUGAUUUCCUGCUAUUUAACCGCAGGCAUGUGUCAGACAUAUCUUGAUAGCAUAAAAAGGACGUGUCAGACAUAUCUUCACGUGGAAAUAAAUUUUGUUGUUUAAAUGUUACGUAGAUACAAGUGCAUCACAGUGAUUUACGCUCUUUAGAGUGUAAUACACAUGUCACAUCAGCAUUCUACUUUCUCCUCUUUUAUUAUACUUUCACUCGCAAUGGAUUAUACUCCAUAAUGUGUAAUAGCAUGGGUCCACAAUUAAAUCACAUGUUUAUUUUAAUAAUGCAUAACUCAUAUCCCAUAAAUUAAUAAAGUAAUUUUUAAAAAUAAUUUUGUUAUUUUUUAAAAAUAAAGUAUUAACUUUCAUUAGAUUUUUUAUCUUUUGAAUUUUUUUAUUUUCUAAAAAUAAUAUUAUUAAUUUUUAAGUUUGAACAAUAUAUCUUUUGCUAUCUCUCAAAAAUAAUAUAUUGUUAUUUUUUUAAAAUAAUUAUGCAAACAAAUUAUGAUACUUGUUGCAAUCUAAUUAUUAUAGAAUUUUUUAUUUUCUAAAAAUAAUUAUGCAAAUUUAGUGUACCGUUGAAAAAAAUUAACGUUGAAAUCAUCAACAUUUGCUGGGCAAAAUUUGAAGGAGUCCGACAUUUUUUAAUGGGUGGCCCACCCAUUACACGUGUCAUCAGGAUGAUGCAUAUAAUGGGUAUUACACGGCCACAAUAGGUGGCCGUGUAACCAACCCAUCAUUACACCUCUCGUGCAACUCCGUUGGAGUUGCUCUGAGUGUACGACCGUCUAACAAGUUUAUCGUACACUCUUCGUAAUUUGAUAUAAACUCACAUAAGUUUGGUGUAUAUGAAGUACGAUCAUGUAACUUUUGUUGUACGUCAUAAAAUAUAAUAAAAUAAUUUAUGUGUAUACAUCAAAUUAUAGAGCAAAAUACAAUAAUCAUAUAAAUUGUACCUAAAACCAAUUGUAUCUGCUCCAAACCUAUACAUACAUACGCACGCGGGCUGCAAUCUCCUUAUAAUCUCAGACCAAAAUUUUUUUUUUAAAAAAAAGCCACUAAGGACGUGUAAUUACGGUGUAAACAUGUUUAAAAAAUAGUAAAUUGUCACCACAGAAAGACCAAUUCUAAUGUUUUGAGUCUUGAAAUUCCAGAAGCACAAAUGCCAUGAAUCUCCACGUAAGACGGCAGCAUUUGUCUAGAUCCAAAAGUUAACUGGCAAGAAUAUGCCGGCCAUAGUCAAAAGCUUUUUCCCGCAUCCAUACAAUGGAAGAUUCAAGGGUACUGAAAAUAUUUUCGUCUGCGGUUUGAAGAAAAUGGAAUACUCGUCGUAGCAAGUGAGAUAAUAUGUUUAACCUACCAAUUAAAUUUAUUUGUGUUUCUCUAAUUCUAAUUAACAAAAAGAAAAAGAAAAAGAAAAUUUGUGUUCCCGGCUUAUCCUUUAACCAGAAUUAGGUUAGAACUUAAAAAAGUACAACUUGAUAAGUUGAAAUCCUAAUAAAUAUAAUACGUAUUGAAACAGAAUUUAAAAGCUAAUCAAACGUCUCUCCACUUGCAUAUGAUAUAAGUGGAUACCGGCCUCCACCACAGCAGAGUUGAAAGCUACAUACUCUCCUACAUCACAAAACUCUCUAAUUCUGACAUAUGGCAUCAACUGUUAUUUUCGUAAUUGCCUACGUUUGUUUCAACCAAACACCAUUUCCCAUCCGUCGCGGGAAAAGAGGCAGCAUUCUUCUUCGCGUUAAAUUACAAAAUUGUAAAAUUUUUAUUUAGCUUGCUUUCGCGUGCAGGGUUUCAAUGCCGUGCAAGCGUAGAGCAGGACAGGACUCGUGUUUUCAGCAGCUAGAAAAUAAUUUCAGAAGGUGACAUGAAUAAUUAUGCAUGUGUGGAAGCAUCCGAAUGAUGAAAAGUUGAAGGGGGCCCUGCGGCUAUGCUAUUUCAAAAGCGGAACUCGACCGAUCGCAAGGAACUCAAAACCAAAUUUGCUAGAGCUGUUCUUUGCUUUAAUCAGUCGUCUUUGUUAACAUAUACAACUGCAAUUGAACACUGUGAAAGAGAGACGUAAGGUCCAAGCGAAAGUGGGUUUUUUUAAAAAAAAAAAGGUGGAAGUUAUCGGAAUUGACUCGAAAAAAAAAAAUUCAUGCCUUAAAGAUUUGUAUAGCGUGUAUUAUUAAAGUUCUGUAGAUGUCAAAAGAGUUUAAAAAAUUUUAUUGGUUUAUUUUGCAGUCGUUCAUAUGUGAUCCGUUCAGUACAUCACCCAGAAAAUACGUUCUACCUAAUUUCAGCGGUUUAGAGGAAAAUUUUAUAACACGAAUUGAAGUAGUCUAAUGGGUACGGUUAUAACACAACUUUUCAUGAGAGAGUUCAAAUUUACAUAUAAAAUCACUAAUGAAUAUGAACAAAAUUUAAAUCUUUUCAUUUUCAACAUAUUGUGAAACAUUUAUCUUACACUCGGAUCAAAUAUAUCUUCCAAUAUAUAUAUACAAAAUGACACAAUUGGUCGAGAAGGAGAAGAGGGACUAGAUCCCUGUCCAUGAAAAGAAAAGAAAAGAAAAGAAAAGCAAAUGCUCAUGGUAUUGAAGAAAAAGCAGAAACGUAGAAUAUGUUGCAUGGAGAAUUGACAUAAAAGAAAAGAAAACUGUCAAAUUUUAAUGCCAUAUCAAAUUUAGUGUUAAUUACCAAAAUCUCCCUUACAAUACAAUGAUUGGUCCCAUGCCCGAAGCUGAACUUGGAGGGUAAUAUAGGAAACUCAGAUGUGGUAUUGGGGUAUUAUUGAGAAGUUCUGAUGCGACAUUAAGAUAGUGAAAUCAAUUAUCCUUUUCAAUUCAAAAGAGGUUUGAACUGGCCAUUAUUUGUAUCACAAAUAUAUUCUUAAAUUUUUUUUUAUUUUUUGAACUAUAAUAAAAAAAUUUAAAAAGUACGGUAAUCUAAAAAUUAGUUUAAAUUUUUUUAAAAUUUUAAAAAAUAUCUCAAAAUAUAUUCUAAAAACUCUUAUACUUUUAAAUAUCCCAAAAUAUUUUUUAAAAAUAUUCCAAAAUAUACUCUAAAAACUCUGUUACAGUAAAGUUUUUUUCAAAAACACCAUAAAAAACGGCUAAUCCAAACGGUUAUAUCAUUUUUUAACACACUCGGUCGUCAUGACUUAACAUUUUAUUUUUCUCCUUUUGGUUUCAAAAACUGUACCUUUUUUUCCUCCAAAAAUUGUACUUAUUUCUCGGUUAAAUUGCAAACUAUCUGAUUGUCUACCCAAGUUCUUGUCAAUCUAUUUGUUCAGUUUUCGUUGAAAAUUGGUUAAGACCUUUUGAAAACUCUUUCCCAUUUAUUCAUAAAUUAAUUAACGACGGCCCUCCCGCCUGAGCAAUUAAUUAACGACAGAAGAAGGUUAAAAAAAAAAAAAAUUUGAGGCAGCAAGGGAGACGGAGAAAGUCAAACUCCCCAGCCGCCACAAGAAAUGAAUAAUAGCGACACAGUUGAAUUUGGAUUUUGGACAUAGCUACUCUUAUAUUCUAAAUAUUUUUUUGUUUCGAGAAUUGUCUUGUACUAGUGCUCUUUAUUAUAUUGCCCAUCUUUAUUUAUUUAUUAAGUGUAUCAGUAUAACUCAAUUCUGUUCAUUCAAAAUCUCGUUAUGAGUGCAAUGUCAUUCUCACAUUCAGUUUUUUUUUUUUAAUAAAAUAUCAUAAUUUCACAUGCAGCUUUUUAAACUAGUAAAUUUUCACUUUUUAAUCUUGCAAGUUUCUAUUCACAAUAAGCAAUAGUCAUUGUAGAAUUUUCACGAGCUCAUACAGAAUUCCUCCACAUUUUCCUUCCUGGAAAUAGAAAUAGAAGAAGACAAAUAACAGUAGCAGCAGCAUUAGGUCAUUAUACAGAAGCUCGCCACUUUGGAUUGCAUUUUUCGUGAUUUUUCAUGGAAAAAUUACUGUAGCGAUUUGAUGUAUGUGAAGGAAAAAGGUAAUAGGGAAAUGUGAUCACAGAAAACGACGUAAUUUUUCUACGGUAACCGGCAAUCCAAACAAGGUUUCUCCGCAUUUUUCUUUCUUCCUUCUGGUCAAAUACAUAUGGUUCACGAGUGUUGAUGCAGAACUUUGGAAAUUACAUUCAAGUGUAGAAUGCUCGAUCAUUAGCUGGCGUAACAUGUUUCACACGCCUAUUUUCGUACUAUAACUUAGUCUGGCUCCCUAUCGUAUUCAGAUCAGAACAUUUUAGAUACCUUCUUGGCUUCUUUGAUCAUCUAAUUAGUAUAUCAUAGCAGAUACAAUUUCAAAACCGGACGCUCUGGUUCCUAUACUUUCACUAUUAAUGAAAAUCACAGAUUCAGAUCGUUAAAGAAAAAUAAAAGUGUCUCUAUUGAAGCAGGUAAUAACUACAAUCACGGCAGAACUCACAGUACCGUAUUUCGCCAAAACAAGUACAAGUGUUUGCCCUGUCAAUGUUUUGCCUCCGGUAAACGACCGCAUCCACACGGUAGAUUAUUGGAGUGUUUGUUUUCCAAGUGCAACAAAUAUUUCAUUUUCAUACAAUCAGAGCAUCACCAGAUGCAUAAAGUAUGUUAAUUGUCAAUCACCUUUUUACCCUUUGUUUGGAACAUUUUUCCCCAAGAAAUUUAUACUUUUCCUUGAACACAUUUCUCAAUAAAUUUUUUACCUUACAUAUAUCAAAUCGUUAACAUUAAAUAGGAUCAUUCUACUUGAAAAUACUUUUAUGUCACAAAUGCUAGGGUAAGAGUUUUUCUAAAUGUGUCUAGUGGGGACUUAUUGAUACACCUAAAUCAGAUUUAAUCUACCAUAUGAAUGCACAUACUAACAAUUAUUAUCCUCCAUUACAAUUAUAUGCUUUCCCAUUGAGCUUCACUUUUUCAAGGUAUUUAUUCGAAAAUUUUAUCUUAGUUAGAAUUCGAUGAACACUCGUUAAACAAACUCAUAAAGUAAUUGCAUUGUUUAUUUUUCCCGUUGUACUUAUAAAAAGAACAAAAAUAGUUGUUCAAUCCAAUCUUGUUAAUAUGGCAUUCUUUUGUGAUCCAAUGGAAAAAAAAAAAAACUAGUAGUUAUCCUUCUUUCAAGUAGUAGUAUGUCAAGUUAUUACGUUACGUGAUAAUGAAACGUAGUCUAGUUGUUAAGAUAUUUCACCUGUAAUUGAUAGGUUAGGUUAUAGAUUCGAGUAUCAAUAAAUAAGUGGGAAAUUACUGUUGAUACUUAUGAAAAGAAGAAAAAAUGUUAUUUGCGUGAUUUGUCUCGAUGAAUAUAUCUAUACCUGGCAAUGGGGUGGGUUGGGCGAGUUUUGGAUGGGUUAAUAUUGGGUUUUCACUUAAAUGGGUUAUACUCAAUCCGCCCAACUUUAGAUUGGGUUGAUUUUGGGUUGGGUCAUAUUGGGUUAUCUCAAACUCAUGACCCAAAUAUGACCCAAUAAAUUAAUUAAUACAUUUUAAUACAUAAACUUUUUCACAUACAUUUUAACACACAAAAAAGAUUUUUUUCACACAUAUAAACACAUUUUCACAUACAUAAAUAUAUUUUCACACACUCACUUCUUAAGUUCCUUGGAAACACAUCAUAAAUAGAAUAAUAUUUUAUAUUGCUUGUAUUGUGAAUUUUAGAUAAUAAAUUAUACAUUUAAAUAGAUUAGCUAAAAAAAUUAUUUAUUUUGUACUUUUUUAAUACUACUAAUUGAUUGAAACUUAUUUUUGUCACAGCUUAUUAACACUUUUACUAUUUAUAUCUGUUUUAUUGUAAAUUGUAAUAUUCUAUGUAUAUAAAUUAUUGAAUGCUAUAUUAUAUUAUAUUUGAAAAUGUAAGUAAGAGACAUACAAUUUGUUGUAUAAUAAUUUUGAAAUUAUAGAAAAUAAGUUUGUACUUUAGUCCUUAUAUUCUAAAAAAUUUUAUGAUUCAUGACUCUAGAAAUUUUGCAAACUGUUGUGAAAGGUCCAUGCAUCAGAACUACAUUCUGGGGAUAAUAUGCAAAUUGCUUUCUUCCAUUAAAUGACUGGAGACAUUACUACAUUUUGGUUCUUGGACUCGCUAAUUAAGAAAGAAAAUUAAUUGUCUUGCUGAUUGUAAGCUUCUCAUGAAGUUGAAGAUUGGAGGUAUUUGCUUCAGACGAAAUGAAAUCAUUGGACUAGCCAUGCCCAAGUUGCCAUAAUUAAUCAAAACAAAAUAGAAUGUGCAAGUCAACUAUAUUGAUUCGAAGUUAAUAUCGUGAUCUAUAUACAUAUAACUAGAGUUGUCAAAAUGGGUGAUUUGGACGGGUUUGGGUUGGGUAAUGGGUAUAAGUAAGUCAACCCAUUUAUACCCAUUUAAUUAGAUAGGUAUAAAUGGGUAAGUCAAAAAAUAAAUUGGAUAAUCCAAUUACCGAUUUAUAACCCAUUUAUUUUAACUUUUUGUAAAUUUAUUUAAAUUCAUUUUUGCAAAUUAAGUUAUCAAUUUAUACCAUCAUUUGCACCCAUCAUUAAUUUUAAAUAUUUACUUAUAAUGCUCAAUAAGCCUAAUUAUCAAAUUUUUUUCCAUCCGUACUCUAUGUCGCAAAAUUAUAUACUAUUUCAUAAUUAAACAAUAAGAAUAUAAAAAUUUGAACUGAAUAUUAUAAAAGUUAACAUAAAAAUUUAAUUCAAAAAUUUUAAACCCCUAGCAUUUUUUCGUGUGUAAAUUUAAAAUUUUAUUUUGAAAAAGUAAGAAAAUAAGCUAAAACUUGUCAUAAAUUGGUAAUGUUGAAAAAUCAGCAAGUUAAUAAACUAAAAGAAAAUAAAAUAAUAAAAUAAAACGAACAAAUAAUAAUAAUAAUGAAACAAAAGUAGUUAACAUCAUGACAAAAUGAAAUUUUUUUUAAAAAAAUGGGUGGGGGAAGAGAGGAGACUUGGGGGAAGACAAUUUUAAAUGGGUUAAUUGGGUUUGAUGGGUUACCCAAUAAUAUCCAUUUAAUAAAUGGAUUAAAUGGACAUUAUUGAGUAACUCAUUUAUACCCAUAUGCAAAAAUUUAAGAUACCCAUACUCAUCUAUUUAUGAGCGGGUAUGGAUAAAUUUAGUUAAAUGAAUUUGUUUGACAGCUAUACAUAUAAUAUAUAUUAAAAGGUAUUUUUUUAUUGAUUUGAUACAGUUAGAUAAUUCAUCACCUAAUUAAUUAGAAUCAUCUAGGAUCAUACUUGAUGCUAUGGUCAUUUUAAUCUUUUAGAAUUACCACAGCUCUAAUAUAAAACAGAAAAUAUUAUAUGCUUGUAAAAAGUACUGGUAUUGGUCCCCAAAAAAUUAUUAAGGAAAAUCCCAAACUUUUUAAGAAAUAAAUGAGAGGAGAAUUCAUGAACUAUUCUGACAUUUUUACCACAAAAAAAAAAGAAAAAAAAAGAUGAGGAAAACAACAUACUCUUAAAAGGCAUAAUAAAUUAUUAUAGAAGUUGAGCAAGUUUAACUACUUUUAUAAAAGUAAAAUAAACAUGAGUUUUUAUUUCAAAUUUCUUUUUUAUUUUAACUAAAAAUUAAAAAAAAUGAUUGAAAAUAUAUAUAUAUGAGAAUUUUGAAUACAAAUUAAUUAAUGAAUUAUUAACACAUGUCCAAAUGUAAAUAGUUGGGUAUAUGUGUAUUAAAUCUUGUAUUUAUUAUUUUGAAUUACUUUUAAACAAGUUGGAUAUUGGGUAUCCAAAUAAAAAAUCUAACCUGCCCAAUGAAUAAGUUGGGUUGUUCUUACCCAAUCCAAUAAAACUCAUAACCCAAUUGAUCCAACCCAUCCUUUAAAAUUAAUGGGCGGAUUGGGCGGGUUGUUGGGUUUUGGACUUUUUUGCCAGCUCUAAAUAUAUCUUUAUAAUAAUGAAUCUUACUUAACAAAAACCUUUAUUUCAUUGUUCGUUCACAAAUUGUAAAUUAGGGCCUUGGCGUUUUAAGCUUACGUUCAAGCAUCAGCUAUGAAAGGUUCCGCCGGUGAAAAGAUAUAUAAAUAAAUAAAUAACAAGGGAACGCCGAGGAGAAGAAGUCAGAGGGUACCAAUUUAGAUUUAUAGGAAUAAAGAAACGGAAAAUUAAUACCGACUUUGUCAGGUGCACCUACCACCGCAGAUAGGCAUAGAACGUGAUUUGUGGCUAACCCUUCCUUCCUUGGCUUGAGCCUCCCUCGCCACUACUAUUGCGUUUAUUCGUUUUGAAUGACCAAUUAUGUGACGUCACCCAUUGCCAGCCAUAGGACUUCAUGAUCAGGAGUUUCUUCUGUCCCCACACCUUAGGAUAUAGAAACAAAUUCAAUAGAUAUAGACACUAACAGUUUAAUAUAAUAACUUUUCAAAAAAAAAAAAGCAGUUUAAUAUAAUAAAUUUGUGUUUUUUAUAUGAGUAGAAUAAAAUUUGAUUUUUUUUUUUGGCAAAUCUUGAUAACCAAACACACUCAAUUGAGUCGUUAAUUUUAAAAGUGCGUAAAUUCAAGCACUUUGGGCAACCCAUUAGGAUUGCUAUUUUUUGAAAUACUCAUACAAAAAUGUAUUAUAGUAAUUUGAUAUAUGUAAGAUGAAAAAUGAUUGAUUGAAAAUAUGUUCAUAAAAAACGUAAAAUUUCUUUUAGAAAAAAAAAAGGCAAUUCAAACAUUUUUUUUCUAGGCAAGAUGGGCAGUUAGUCAGUGACAAUCUAGGCAGUUCAAACACUUGAUUUGUGUCCAAGACUACUGUUGAUAAAAAUACGUGGUUAAUCACGUCUACCUUUCUUAUGCUUUAGCCAAAUUGCAAGAAGACCUUUCGAAGUUUGAAAAAUAACAGUCACCCUCCUUUAACUUCAAAUAGGUAUCUUACUAUAUAACUAACACAUAAGUAGGGGUUUGGUAUUAGUAACAAAAAGUGUUAACAUUUACCUUUUCAAAAAAUACAUUUUCAAUAUUUACUAUUAUCUAUCCACAUCUUAUUUGGAAAAUGUUUCACUCCUAUAUAACCAUUACCAUAUAACUAUCACUACACUCCCCUAUUAAUUGAUUAACUAAUCCACUAAUAAACACUGCACCACUUCCCAAAAGUCUUUUUAACUAAUUUUUGAUUCUAUAUAUAUAUAUAUUUUUUUUAUUAUUUGUUUUUUCUAAAACAUGUACACAUAAUGUGUGCCCCACCCAGCAAUAAUAAAUAACCCCUUCUUGUUAGUUUAUUAACGCUUGUUUAUCCUAAUCAAACCAAAACAUACGUAAAAGUAAAAAAUUAUCCCUUCAUGUCUUACAGAGAAAGGAAGGAAAAAAUAAAAUUUGAUAUAGAAAAAGAAAAAGUAUAGCCAAGAAAAACCAAUGCCUUUACUUCUCUAUUCAUCGUCGUUCUUGUUCCAGAAACCACCACUAACUCCGCCAGUGCAUUCCCAAUUUGCUUAAUAUAAGAAAAAACAAACCCCAAAUCUUCUUCUCUUGCCACCAACAACCUCCAUUAAGCCUAGGUCUUGAGCCCCAUGAGCAUCUACACUUCCUACACAGAUCUAAAAUGGGCAUCAACAAAAGAGCCAAUUCCAAUAAAUUGGGGAAAAAAGAUUAUAAAAUGCUCAUUUGAGUGGUUAAAGGUGAUAGAGAUGCAUCAAUUAGUGCUAUGAUUGAUCUCAAAACUUAAAUUGCAGAUGAAAUGACAUAACAAAUAGGUGAGGACUCUAGAGUUCAAGGGUGCAAAAAUGGUUACCAAAGUAGAGGGAAGAGGUGAGCAUGAGUGGAUGAGUUUUUGGGCAUGAAAAACAAAUAUGGAUGGUUUCAUGGUUCAAUAAAAGAAUCAAUACAGUUUCUAGAAACGUUUUUGUUGAUCAUUAGUUCCUUUGCUCAGAAUGCACUCAGACUUGACUUAAAAAAAAUAAAAAAAAAUUCUAGAAUCAUGUUAUCAUCUUUACAACAAUAAUCAAUGUUCAAUGGCUUGAGUUUCAUUAGUAAAAUUUGUUGGAGUCAGGAAUUGGGACUUUGGAUAUUAUUGAAGACGUUAUAGUUUGGACGAGUACCGGGGAAGAGGAUGAAAAUAGACGACGGUGGUGGAUUCGUUUUGGGGAAGAGUCUUUCUGUUUACACAUACUAGUGUGUAUUUCAACACCACCGUUUAGCAAAUGUUAGGUCAAAGGGGGUGGCAGUUAUUUUUCAAACUUCAAGAGAUUUACUUGUAGUUUGGUUAAAGCACGGGGAGGUAGAUAUAAUUAACCAAAAAAUUUUAUAUUCUUGGAAUGUUUGAAAUGUGUCUAAUUGUUCUUCAAAAAGAAAAAUUGUAGUAGAGCCAAAAAUUUUGGCGGAGCCUAAGAAAAGUACGAUAAAAAGGUAAUUCAAAAAUUUGUUCACACAAAAUAAAUGGUAAAAGUAAUUAACUUUGUUGGAAAAGUCAAAUUUAGAUUGCUAUUUUUCCAAAAUACCCUCAUAUUAAAUAUGAUAUAAUUUUAUGGAAACUUGAAUUGAUGGUAAAAAAAGAAUCAACUCUCAUCAAAUAGGGUAGAUUUAUAGUAACAAUUACUUACAUUGAAUAAGGGUAUUUUAGGAAAAUUAAAAUACAACUACAUUUUUCAAUUGAAAGGUGGACUAUAAUUUGGGACAGAUGAAAAAGGAAUAUAGGAUCGGACUAUCAAAAUGGGACGGAGGGAGUAGCAAAUUACGUGGCCGAAAUUGUUUUACAGGCUUUUCAUCGAAUAGAGUAGACGGAAAGAUUGGACACGUGGUUCAUACUGUGCCACAUGAAAUUAAGGCCAUUCUUCCGGGAGUCCAGUGAAGUUAAUCACCUGCUGCACUCCGCUCCAGAGUCCAGAUCGUGACUUUGAGGCAGUGAUACUGAUAUGGUGGGCCUACGUUUUCACGAUUGACAGGCAGUAAUAGACCAUUCCGGACCAGACGCCUCGCCGGUGUAAAUAAAUUCAACCUCAAUGGGUCCUCUUUUCUUUUCAUUCUUCCAUUAAAAAAAAAAAAAAACAGAGGCAGAGAGUCCACGUCUAGCAAUUCAGCUUCAGGACGGAGGAAAAUAUUUAUUUAUUUAACUAGGUGUGAACGACGUUUUAAAUAAUUUUAUUUUUUAAAUACAUUACUUACAUAUAUAAGAAUUUUAAGCAGGAAAAGCAACAAAUUGCCUAGAAUAUUUUUUGUCAAGAAGUCAAUUGCUUUUACUGACUAAACAAACCUAAUCCCCAGAGCAUACUUCAAAAGCCGGCAGCUCUUGGAGCAGCCCCAGGAGACUUAUCUACCCAACAAAUCCCAACCCCCUCCCCGAUGUGGGACUAUAACUCACUCAACCAUCCUGCUACUAAGAGUGUACUAACCCCCAAGUGAAAUUGAGAAAUGAGCUUCGUCUUUUGUCAAGAAGUCAAUUGACUUUUACUGACUAAACAAACCUAAUCCCCAGAGCAUACUCCAAAUUGCCUAGAAUAUGAAAAGUGACAUUUACACUUUUAAAUUAGUCUAUUACAUUCUUGGAGGCAUAUUAUUUAGUGAGUAUAUUGGAAUGCAAGAGGUUAAAAUGAGAGUGCGAAUAUCAGUUCCUUGAACUAUAUGGUAAAUGUUUGCUUGCGAAUCGAACAUUUAAUUCAUGCUUUCUGUCUUUGAUUCAUAACCUUGUUUGUCUCAAGGAUUUGAGAGUUGAACUCCUAACUCCUAGUUUAGUUAGGAAGAUGCUUUAUCUGUAGUUAAUAGGUCACAUAUUCGAUUCAUCACAAGAAUAAAUAGAAAAUCAUUUGUUAAUCCUGCGUAGAAAAAAACAUAAAUGCCUAUGGAGAAAACAUGUACUUUUUUUUUGUGAAUUCUUAAACCGCUCGGCCUACUAUUCUUUCCGGUAGGCAAUUUUGAACUAUAUUGCACUCUCAAAAGAAUCGUAUCCUACACCUUAAGUAGGUUCUACCCUUGAGGACCAAUUCUCAACGCGUAUAUUCUGCAAGGAGUUUUUUUAGGGGCUAUACAUAAUGAAUUUGUUUGAAGAAUAUAUAUUUUUUGGAAUAACCAAAUAUUCACAGGGGAAAUCACAAUAAAAAGAAAUUGUAAACAAGCACAUUUGACAUUUUUAUUUCAACACUAUUUAAUUGUUGAAACUUUUACCAAUAUUUACUUGAAUAUUAAGUGAAAAUCACAAUCCCAAAAAUGAAUUUUUUGAGAACUUUUCAAUAAUAUGUUAGUCUUUUUCUAAUAAAAAAAGGAGUUCAAUUUUGAUCAUUACCAUGAGCUAGCACUCCUUGCACAACAAAUCUACUUUAAAUAUUGGCUCAUCCAGAUAGGGGCAAUGUGUACGUGACACCAUAAGGGCCCAAAUCUCAAUAUCAUCUUGGUCCAAAACUUCAUAUUUGAGAUGCAAGGAAAGAUUGUCAAGACACGCUUUUCAGGAUCAUAGAUUAUUUACAGAGUUCUUAUAUGUUACCUACCAACGCAAUUUGACUUCAUAUUUGAGAUGCAAGGAAAGAUUAUCAAGACAUGCUUUUAGAAUUAUAGAUUAUUUACAUAAUUCUUAUGGGUUACGUACCAACGCAAUUCUCGGCAGUAGAACAUUUACAACCACUAAUGCUAAUAAUUUUUUUCUAGAGGGAUGGGAUUUAAAGUGGGAAGAGGGCAAAGGGAUUUGAAAUCAGGACUUUUUAUUUCUGGUUCUUCAACUCCAGCGAUUAGACGAAGGCGUUGUCAAUUUUAGACAAUAUUUAUACUUUUCAUGGUCCCUAUAAAAUUCUAAUUGACUCCUAAGCCUCAUCCAGGCCUAACAGGUACACAAGCCCAAAUUUCUUUCUCGGGUAAGUGAAACCCCAAAUUUUGUAAUGUGCAAAACUCGGAGCGUCCAUCAAUCCUUUGUCACAACUCACAACUUCCUUCAAAAAAAAAAAAAAUCCUUUGUCACAACUCACCGAUAAAAGCGCAAAUUUUCAAAUAAAAAAUUCAGCCCUUCAUAACAGCGCCUCCUCAACUCGUCUAAUUGUUCCAGAAGCAUUUCUGUUCAGCGCAUUGUUUUUUUGGCAAGGAUCUUGUACCCUGGAAGUAAACCAUCCGAGCGAACGAUGUCGUAUGUGCCUCCUCACCUGAGAAACUCAACCACUGAUACCGCCGCCACCACGGUCACCACUCUAGACACCAAUCACUUCCAUUCUUACUCCAACCUCAGCUCCGAGACGAACAACAGCAGCAAUAACUAUCUCAAUUCAGCUCGCCGGAGCACCGUCAAUUACACCUCUCCGAGGACUGUUUCGGCUCCCGACAUUGUCUUCCCCAAUUGGAAACCUUCCGAACGCGUUCUCCGUCUUACACCCGAGCAGGUACCUUGCACUGGCGUCAGUUUCUUUGGUAGUUCCUCACUUUCUCUAGAUUAGGUUGUUGAAUUCUGCAACUUGAUUAUGCUUUGGCUUAUUAUUUAGCUGUUGUAAUCUUCCUUAGUUCGUGUCCAUUCUUUUUACUACAAUUAGUCCCUUCAUUUCCGUGUAAGAAUUACGGAAGAUUUGUGCAUUUUUGUUGGUGGUAUUCAAGUCAACCUUUGCAUAUCAAACUGAAAAGCAAUCAGGAGAUUAAAUUAUGGCUAUCUCUUGUCGCAUAAUGUUUUCAGGCUAGAGUCAAGGAAGAAAUGUCUGCUUGAGUCAUGCUUCAAAUAAAUAAGCUCAAAUUUUCUGAUAGCUUUAACGUGAGAAUGCAGUUAGAACUGUCUUACACUUUACAUUGCAUUUUCGAGGAUUAUUUCGUCGCAUUUCAACUUUUUCUUAAAACUGACGCAUGACACGGUGCAUAUUGAUCUACAGAUAGAUGAGGUUCGUUUAAGACUUAAUCUUGAUGUUAUAGUAGCCCCAGACUCGCCUCCUGCGCCAGCGCCUAUUGAAUCAUUUACUGACAUGGUAACUUGAUCGACCCAUGAGAAUUGGGUUUAUUGUAAUGGGAUAAAAGUUUUCACUUGGUCUGACUUGGUGUGGAAUCUGUUGGCGUGCAGUGUUUGCAUUCUAGCAUUAUGAAGGAUAUAUCUUUUCAUGGAUACACAACUCCAACACCCAUCCAGGCUCAGGCCAUGCCAGUUGCUCUCAGUGGAAGGGAUCUUUUAGGUUGUGCAGAAACUGGCAGUGGCAAAACUGCUGCAUUCUCGAUACCUAUGAUACAGGUUUUACUCUUUUUUGAUGUUUAUUACUUGGCAAUUUGUUGGAACAGAUAUUAAAAUCUAUUCAGUUUAUGGAAUUUGGCGGGGUAGUUUUUAUUUUACCUUGAGAGCGGCGGUUAUUAUUAUUUUUACCUCCCCUUGAUUGCAGCAUUGCUUGGCUCAGCCUCCAGUCAGACGUGGUGAUGGACCUUUGGCGUUGGUACUGGCUCCUACAAGAGAGCUAGCUCAACAAAUAGAGAAAGAGGUAGGCAAGUCAUUUUCAAGUUCUUCGAUCGGCAAUGAUACUAAGUCAUUAAGAUGUUGUUAUGGUGUCUUUCAACUAUAAAAGGAUUUUAACUACUCAUUUUCUUAAAAUCUAAACAUAACAUCACAUGCUUAGUAAUAUUCCAGGUUAAGGCUUUCGGUAAAUCAUUGGAUUCUUUUAGAACUGCAAUUGUGGUGGGCGGAACAAAUAUUGGUGAUCAGGUAUGGGAUCAUUCUCUUGUUUUUGUAAUUGAUAUAGUAGCUUGUGUGUUAUCAAAAUCCUGUUUUCCUGGCUGUUGAAAUUCUUGAAUGAAUAGGUAUUGAACUGAAUUGGUGCUCCUGGACUUUUUUUAAAUCAAUAAUGUGUGUCCUAACCUCCAUCUUUGUCCUUUUCCUUUGGAAAAAGUUUCAAAAUUGGUUUCAUGAUUGUUUGUAACUUCUGCUACUGGUACUUUGACAGAGAUCUGAGCUACGCCUAGGGGUGGAUGUAGUGGUUGCAACUCCUGGAAGAUUUAUUGAUCAUUUGCAGCAAGGAAAUACUUCCCUCUCCAGGAUCUCAUUUAUUGUUCUGGAUGAAGCUGAUAGAAUGCUGGAUAUGGGAUUUGAACCACAGAUGAGAGAGGUAAGUUCUUUGUCUAUAAUGUUGCAAUUGUUAGCAGAUUCACAAUUUCAGAAUUUGUUGUUUGCUGCAUGGAAGGUUGAGGUCCUUGUCUAUCUAUGUUCAUCCAUGCGCAUGCAAACAAUAUUUCUCAUUUCAUUUUAUAUAUGCAAAAAGAACUCCCACUGUAUUUUCCAUAUUUUUUCCACAAUUUCUGAAUUGGUCAUUACACUGAGAUCUCAGUAUUCUAGUUCCAUAGUUGUAUUCCUGACUACUGUGAUACCAUUAGAAAUAGCUGUUUUCUAACUAACUUUUUUACUACUUGAUAAAAGUUUGCUUUGGUGCUUUUAUCAUCACCAUCGGAGUACCCUAUUCCUUCAAACAGUAGCUGUUUCUGUGGGACAAGCCAUAGCAACACCCGAAGACUUAUUAAUAGGCAACAAAAAUGCAACUAAAACAGACUGAUAAUAAGAAGAAUUUGCUGUAUAAAUAAUUUUAACCUUGCUGUUUCCAUGCUGAGUAUGGGAAGAAAUUUGCAGUAAAAUACUUAGAUGCAAAGGGAAGAAAUAUAACUGAAAGCAAACAUUUGCAUGUCAUUUGCUUUUGUUACAGGUGAUGCAGAAUCUUCCUCAAAAACAUCAAACUUUAUUGUUUAGUGCAACCAUGCCAGUGGAGAUUGAAAUGCUAGCACAGGUAAGAAUCAGGUUAUAUUCUCAAUUUACCCUGUAGUUUGCUGCUUAACACUUGAAUGAUGUGCUGUGUCUACUUAAAUAACCUUUGUAGGUUUGAUGCUUGGGCCUCAAACUGGUUCUGCUCUUUAUGCGACUUGAUGAUUUUGAAAUGAGAUUAGUAUUUCACUGAAGAGUAUCUUAAGACGUUAAUUCGGAUUCAUAGUGCAUGUACAUUGUGUCUGAGCCUUUUUGAGAGUUCUUGCUACUUGUAGAGCCAAAACUGGACUGGCUUUACAGUCCAUGACGAUAUAGUUGCAGAAGCCUUAUUCCUUGGCUUGUCCUUUGUGGAGUCCUGGUUCACGCUUGAUUGUGUCUUUUUUGCUUCAUCUUCUUAGUACUGGUUGAAGUAUGCUCAAAUUGCUAAUUUCUGAGAAGGUUCAUGUACCGAAGUUUAUCUACUACAUCAACUUGUUGCUAUCAGAAACCUGAUAUUUGAGUUGGCUUGUUACAUAUGCUUUCUAUCGUCAACAUAUUCUUUUUGUCACUGUACUAAGUAAUCUAGGUUUGUCAACUAAGUGUUUUUUUUAUUUUUAAAAAAAAUUAUCAAUAAAUUAAUUUUUUUUUUGUUUUCUGUAGGAGUAUUUGACGAAUCCAGUGCAAGUAAAGGUAGGCAAAGUGAGUUGCCCAACUGCAAAUGUAUUGCAGAGUUUGGAAAAGGUGCCUGAAAAUGAGAAGGUAUACUUUCUUUUUUUUUUAAAAAAAAAAAACUAGAUAAACUCUUUGUGAGCUUGAUUUUGGCAUAAGUAAUUCAUAGUUUAACAAAUACAUUAUUGGAUCAUUGCUAUGGUGGAUGCCCUCUUUAUUCUUGAUAGAAUGCUGGCGUUUUAUGAGCUUCCUGUCAAUUAUCAAGAUGCUUAGUUAAGUUGAACUGUAUCAUUUGCACCUGAAGCAGCUAUUAUUUAAAAAGUUUGUCCAUGGGUAUAGCAACAGAAUUUAAGACAAUCUAAUCUUGCACAUGCAGUUGCCAUAGCAUUUGCAAAAGCAUGUUUUCAUUACUCUUAAUGUUUAACCUAUGUCGCGAGAUAUUUAGGGUCCUUUCCUAUAGGUAUGGAUAUCUAUAAUUAAUUCUCAUCCUAUGUGCUCUUAAAAAUGCGUGAGUUUUAUGUGUUUAUAGAUAGAUCGGCUUUUAGGAAUGCUCGUGGAGGAAGCUGCUAGGGCUGAAAGAUUUGGCCAUCCCUUUCCUUUGACAAUUGUCUUUGUGGAACGUAAGGUAGAGCUAUUAAACUUGUUUAAGUUCAUUUUCUCUCUCUUUUAUCCUUCUUUUGUCAUUCCAUUUCUAUAAUGCUAUCACAGUUUUUUCUUACAGAUGUAUGAUAUCAAUUGAUAAAAGCAUCACCUUUGGCAUUGAAAUAAUUGUGAUUCUCCUGGGUGUUAAAACUUGGCCAUCUCAGUGGAUAUAUUGUUGCUUGAGUUGCCAUAAAGCAUAAUGCUCUUUCAAUUGGGAGUUUCCUUGAGAAGAUUUUAUAAUUAAUUUUGAUGUGCAUGGUUUUAGAACUUGCUUAAUGGAUUAUGUGAUAUGAAAGUGUUGCUCUUCCGAUACUCCUAGAAAACAAUUUCAGUGCGGGCUUUUGCUGUAUGAGAGCUUAACUUGUUUAUUCUAAUAAAUUAAGAAGCCUCUCUCUAAAAUCAAUUCGAUGUGGGGUUUCACUGUUUAUGUUUGGAAGUCAUGAUAAUACAUUCUAAAGCUGGCUUGGUAAUUUGAGGUUGUUGGAUCUUGAUGUUUCUCUGAAAAAUAUUCAGUUUUCAGAGUUAAUUACAACUUUAAGCUGAUUUAUAGAGUGUUUUAGUGUAGCUUGUCAAAGGUAAAAGAGAGAGAGAAUUUGAACAGUCAAUUCCCCCUUUCUGUCACAUAUAUUACCUUAAGGUAUUAUUUAUCAUCACAUUGGACAGGAAACAUGAGAGUUAGAAAUCCCCAAACCCAUGAUUGUUAUGACUCAGCAAUUGUUUCUUGUCGUGCUUUACAGUUUUGAGAAAUGUUGAAUAUCAGAUUUAUAUAUUCAUUCUUCUUGUUUUAGAUGUCAAGCUUACCCCAGUUGAAUAAUCAACUCUCGAUCUGAUCUUUUUGGCAGUUGUAUAAGAUGCGUCUCUGCAUUUGUAUACAUUGCUUGCAAGUUUAGUAUAUAUUGAUACCAUUGAAGGGGAAAAGAUGGAAGGGCUGGUUUUUGUGGGGUGGGGGGGUACUUUAUGCUGUUUCCUUUGGUGCCUUAUUGAUGGCUAGGUGUUUGCUGCUAUUGUUAUCUUGCACAUGUGACACCGUGAUAUCAGCUCUCAAACUUUUAAGUGCUUUGAAUAUUCAACUGCAUGCAGACUAGGUGUGAUGAAGUUGCAGAAGCAUUGAUAGCUCAAGGUUUAAAAGCGGUUGUUCUACAUGGUGGUCGCAGUCAAAGCGAAAGAGAAUUGUCCCUUCGUGAUUUUAGGCACAGUGCUACUAAUAUCCUGGUAUGUUAGAGACUAAGGAAUUUGGCAGGCUAUACUUUACACCAAGCUUCAUUGCCAUGAUAUCACAUCAAAUUUGUUCCUUGUAUCUUUUUCUCAUUGUAGUUAUGCAUCAUUGUAGCCAAAUUCUUGUGUUAUAUUGAAGUCUUGUAGUAUUAACCUACACAUAACCCCAACCAAAAGCAAAGAAAGCCAUAUACUGACACAUGGUUGAAUGGGAAUUAUGCUUAUGUAAUAUCCUAAUUAUUCACACAUUUUUGCUAUUGUUGAGUUAGUUGUGAACAUAUUGGAUACUUAUUUGGAUGUGUUAUGAGAGGGAGCAACCUUACAUGGUUUGAUGUCCAUGAAGUUGGGUUAUUAGCCGUGUAUGGUAAGAGACAUUUUUCAUACUUAUGGAUCAUUUUCUUUUUGUUAAUGAAGUACUGGAUAAUUUAUCUUUAGAUGAGUCACCUUCUAGCUCGUCCAAUGUCUUGAUUUGACGUUUGGUAUGUCAUGUGCAGGUUGCUACUGAUGUUGCAUCUCGUGGAUUAGAUGUCAGUGGAGUGGCUCAUGUAGUGAAUCUAGAUCUUCCAAAGGUAAUAUGGUUUCAGCGGAAGCAUUCUCCUCUGUGACAACUGAAAUGCAAUUGCAGGUUCUAGAAGCUAACAUCAGAUGCUAUUUUUCUAGUAAUGUGUCAAGUAUUGUUAUACCAAUUGACACCAUACUUUUAGACUCUGUAUGAAUAAUAAUUACUAAAAAUAAAUAAACUUAUGGUUUGUUUCAGAAUAAAGGGAUAACUAUUACGUUAUAUAACCAGCAGUAUAAUCUCCAUUAAUUUACCUGUGAUAAAGAUGCCUGUAUAAUUGAUCCCUACACUUUUAUCUUGCCUACAUCUAUUGUGAAUGUAGUUCUGGAACUUCUGAUCUGGUUUUCUGAUUUCAGACCAUGGAAGAUUAUGUACACCGGAUAGGAAGGACAGGUCGUGCUGGAUCAUCAGGCAGGGCAACAUCAUUCUAUACUGACCGAGACAUGGUGCACCUUUACUUCUCUAUUUACUCGCUUCUGUCAUGUCAUUUUCUUUAGGGGUUAAGAGAUUUUUUUUGGUAAUGCAAAUACAUGCUUAGCAUAGUUAUAUGCUGCAGUAUCUGGUUGCACAAAUAAAGAAAGCAAUUGUAGAUGUUGAAUCUGGCAAUACAGUCAGUUAUGCUACUGGGAAGGUAUGGCUUUCCUCUUGUUGCUUCUUCAUAGUAAAUAUUAACGAGCACAUCCUAUUAUUUUCCCGCUCUUUUCUGUUCGUUAUGAAUGCCUGUCUCAGUUGUUCUCUUUUUCCUUUGGGACCUGUUGUAUGCUUUUGUGCAUGGUCUUUUAUCUUUUUUAUUUUUCUUUUGGAGUAAUUGUUAAAGAAAAAUGCAUAGAUAGUGGUUCACUGGAUCUGUCUUUUGCUUGCAUUAGCCACUACUAGUUCAUUUCUUUCUAUUCCCACGUUGCCUAUGGUUUAUUGUCAGGUUGCUCGGAGGAUGGAGAAGGAAGCUGCAGCUGCUCAUAAGGAAGCGAGGAUUGCACUCUCCAAGGUCUCCUUACUGGGCACUGCACCUUUGAACGUGGAGGAUAAGUACAAGCACAUGAUCUUCCCUGCAAUGGCAAGAAAAGAGGGUGCAGCAGACGAUGCUUGGGACGAUUAAUAGUUCGAAGUUGCGUUUCAAUAUAUGGGGAACCAAAUAUGUUCACCAAUUAAUUCAUCUUUUAUUACUUCAAAAACACAAGAAAAAUAAAAAAAGACUAAUCAUGCUCUUCAUUUUCUUUCUGUAGUAGCAUACUGGCUCGCGGCCACUAGUCUUGUAUCAGCCAUGUGUAAAUAUUUGUCUGAUUAAUCGUGUACAUGUGAAAAGAAGAGGUGUUUUUUUUUUUUUUUUUGGGUUUUGACCACCCAAUCCAAAUCCCGCCUAUGAAAAGAAGACUUACUGUUCCCUUGAUGACAUCGCCGGUUAUGUGUUAGGAUUGGAGCAUAAAGAUUCUGUUUCACAAGUGCAAAGCAUUCAGAGAAUUUUAGUUUCAACAUCUGAUACAUGAACAGCUUUGUUGAUUCAGCAAAUUGACUAUACGUGGUUACUCGGAUAGAAUGGUUAAACGUGCUCCAAAUUUAAAUCUGCCCUGAUGCGGCAGAUAUGCACUCAUCCCUCCGUCCCUGCCCCCAACACAACAGUCGCGGCAGCAAAAGCUCUCAAGCAGCCAACAAAUCCAAAAGGAGUACAAAAAACUCGUAUCAUACAUACUGGCCAAGUACAAAUGGUAGAGCACUGAGCGGCAGAUAAAUUUUACAGCAGCAAAAUAGCAUAGAGUCAGAAGAACCAGAUGGACCGGGACAUAACCAAGAUAAUAAUCCCAAGUAGCAUCACAUGCAAAACAAAACAGAUCAUUGCAUUUUACGAGGGACAGAGAAAGAGGAGGAAUGACGGUGUCCGUUGCUGUCAAUUAGUUUAGGAUGCCAUCACUGGAAGUCGCUUGUGCCCUAUGACAGCCUGCCGUAGCAUAUGGUAGCCGUUCCUAUAAUGCUCAAGUGAGAAGCAUAGCUGCCUUAUAGCCUCUCUUUUCUCUUCUGCUCCUUCCAAAAUUAAUUCUCGCUGCCUCCCCACCUCUCUCUCCAGUUCUUUAAUUCUUAAUUGCAGCUCUUCCGCCUGUUUACGCGCUACAUCAGCUCGAGCAAUCAACUCAACAUGCUGCACAUGCAAUUGGUGCAAAUGCUUGUUCAUUUCAUCAAAGCGGAUGUCUUUGGAACUAAUUUCUGCAACAUACAUAACAAUUUUUGCAUCAAGUGCAUCCUUCUCUGCCCUCAAUGUUUCAUAGUUCAACUUAAAUGUAUCAAGACUUCUAUUCAGUUCUUCAACGUGACUGCUCUUCUCGAGAAUGCCUACCCUCAAUUCGUCGAUUUCAGCCCCAAGCAUAGCUUCCAUCUCUGCUUUCCCCACCUUGAUCCGUCUGACAUCCUCUUCCAAAGAUUGGCAGCGUAAAUCCAUUUCUUUCAGAUUAUCCUCCAGAUACGUCUUUUCCUUCACCAUUCGAGUAAUUUCAGUUCGAAGCUGAGAGUUCUCCUCUGAUAAGCUCUCGUUAGCAUUGGAAAUUGUUUCCCUUAAUCUCCUGAUUUCUUGAUCACGAUCUGAUACAUUGGAUUUAUACCUCACAAUUCGGUCCUGCAGCUUCAAGACCUCCCUUCUCUCUUUUUCAAGUUUGGUUUUCCAAGUAGAAAUAUCUUUUUGUGCUGAUCCUAGCUGAUCCUGCAAGCCAUGGAUAGCCGAUCCAUUAUUCUGAAGUUCCAAGCUUAAGCGUGCAACUUCCUUCUCGGAAUCAAGAAGCUUCUCUUUCGUAAUUUUUAACUCUUUCUUGAGGUUGUGGAUUUUGUCUUCUGAGUGCACUGUUUCCGAAUCACCAUUGGGUUCAUGAAGGUCUGUCAGCUCUUGUUUGUGCACCUUGGAACCGUCUUCCACAACCACUGCAUCUUCCAGCACAGAGACAUCCUUACCAUGCACACUGUUGGUGAAUUCCAUCGUCUUGUACUUUUGGAGCUCAUCUUUCAACAUGUUAAUCUGUUCCUCAGAUAGUCUAAUCUUCUCCCUUGCUUUCCUCAACUCUUCCUCAUAUCCUGCUAGUCUAGCCAGCAAAAUUUCAGAGUUUUCAUUUUUGGUUCCUCGGUGGGAGCCUUCGGAAAUCUCCUCCUGUAGCAUUAAAAACUUUUCUUUUGCAUCACGGAGCUCUACCUCCAAUUCAAUAAUCCUCUUACGCAAACCUUGGUCAUCAUCACUACCGUGUGUUGCUGUGUAAUUGUUUACAGAAGAAUCAUCUGAUUCUGAAUCAGAAUCCAGGGUUGAUGAUUCAUCUCCUUCUUUGUUGGACAUGUCUGUGCCAUUUCCACCAGCCCCAAGAAAAAACUCAAAUCCAGCAGCACGGGUACCAGAUUUUCGUCGGCUGGGCCGUCGAUCAGGAGAUGGCAAAGUGGAAGGUGGUUCAGAACUUAUAUCUGAGAUGCCGGAGCCCUGCGAUUGGAGAUCCGAGGGAAUGCUUUUCCGAAGCUCUCCAGUAACAUGAUCAUAACGCUCUGCCAAUGACCUGUACAUUCGGUAGAACUCCUCAACGAGAUUAAUAAGUUCUGGCCUCUUCUGGUAAUACAUUUCGGCCUUUUUAGCAAACGAAUCCGCAUCAUGUUCAAUGAGUUUCAGCAUCCGUUUGAUAUUCUGAUCCAUCUCUGACAUCAAUGAUCUUUUUGUCAGUUUUUGGUUCGACAUCUUGAAUGGUUAGCUUACCACCAUCACAUGCAAUCAAAUUGAACUGUGGUUGAAGUUACAGACAUCAUCGUCCCAGAGCCUAUAUGAUAGAAUGACCGCCACCGACUUUUGACCCUUUUUAAGAAAGUGACUGAAUUUUAUUAAUAAAUUAAUACAAUCUUUGGUGCCUUCUGCGUAUCAAUCACUCGUUUUUCCAGUUAGUGGAAUAUUUCAGGUAAGAUAAAAAAGUUUUAACUUCCUCAUUUUAUAUAUUAAAAAAAAAAAACUGAAAACAUUCUAAAACCAGUGGCCACAGCAAAUUUAGAUUCCGACUUUUGUGGGUUUGAAAGUUCUAAAGAGUUUGGAAGGAGUUCUCGAUAACCCCCCGCUCUCAAGGGAGCUUUUCUUGUAUACAGAAAGAAAAAGAAACCAUUUUUUCAAGCAAUAAUCUAAUGACUAUUUUCCUCUUCAGUAUUAAGCAUCUACUUAAUUCUUUGAUGACUAACCAGGAAACAAAAAGUUUUUGUGCUUCUAAUUAGAUUAAAAAACAUUCAAUAUGAGAACCCAUAAAGAAAAUAGUGGAUAAGCAUGAUAAAAAUGAACUGCAAUAACCAUUAGAAAUUUAGAUGACAUUUGAUAUAAACAAAAAGCUGUUUUAUAUUUCCUUUCGCUUUAUUAUUUUUCCCUUUUUUUUAGGGAUAAUUUUUUUUUUGUGUGUGGGGGGACAGUUCCCAAUAAAGAAAGUAAAGCAUAUAGCAGUUGAAAAAAUAUCUGAACAGGAAAGUAAUAAAAGAAAAAAGAAAAGAAAGGUUCAACAACCUAUACUCUAACCUUCGAGAUUUUCUUGAAGCCACCUAGAGUUUUUAGGACUGACGUGGCUAUCCCACCACCAGGAAUGUGAUUUUUUUGACACAGUCUUCUUCAACUUAUUCCGCUUGACCUGAAAUAAAGAACACAAUAACACGUCAUCUUAAGCUCCCACCCAAUUCUGGUUUCAAAGCUAAAUGCUAAAUUUCUCAGACCAUGCAGGCUGCGCCAAGUGCAUACAAAAAAUCCUUUGCAUGAACAGCCGAGAUUGGUGGCCUAUUAACUUUCCUUACUUCCACACCAAAAUGCGCGAAGAAAGGGGUACCAAACGAUCAAACAAUCAUCUGUAUUAUUAACAAGUAGAAGAGGUACAGUGGUUGGGACUCUUAUGAAGAUUAACUACUCACCAAGGUGGCUGCCAUUGUGCUGAUUGAGCAGAACUCGUGUAGAACACCUUGGUCUGAACAAAGGGAUUUACCUGCAAUUUGGCUCAGCAUAAAUAACGGCUACGAGAUACUGCAUAAAAUUCGUCUUCAUCUCUGGUACAUGGAAUGCGAAUUUGCAGUAUUGAUCUCAUCACUGAAGGAUAUAAUUUUUAACCUAGGUAGGAGGUGACUGACAAUCAAUACCAUCCUUUGGAAAUUACAGAGAAAUAGUAAUCAAGUUUAAACUAUCAAGUCCAGCGAAAGCACAAUCCAAAGGGGCUUCAACCAUCUGAGCUUUUAUUGCCAUCAUUCAGUUUCAUUUCCAAACCACAACUCUGUGCUUCAGUGGUAACAAGACAAACAUUUCAAUUUUACUAUUUGCUGAGUUCCAAUUACUAAAUUUUUGCACCAAAACAACUAGGUACAAAAUUAGGAGGAGAAGACGAGAGCCCGAAGAAUCUGAUGCAAGCCGGCCCAAAGCAUCAUUAUGUGACGGAAUGACCAGUGAAACGGACCGAUCCAACAACAACAAGACAAAAGAGGAAAGUGGCUUUGGGCCUAGAAAGCAGCUUCCAACAUUCAUAUUUCGUCCAUGAAACUGAGGUGAGAGUGUGACAGACUAAUUGGAUAUUUUUACUUUUAACAUAAAUCCAAUAGGGCCCACAAUGAUUGGACUAAAUUAUGGGCGACACAUGGCAAGGACCAAGCACGUUCACGGUUCACAUAAGUGCGGCGUGUCACCACGCGCAUGUAGAGCGCGGGAACUUCAGAGUAAUUGAUAAAUAGUCCGCAUAAAUAAAUAAAGGCACAAAAAAAAUUAUAUAUAUGACGAGGUCAUGGCCUCAUGGGGGCUUUGACACAACUGUACAGAACACCAUCUCCAGCUAUAUCCACGCGGUCGUGUUAUUCACACCCAUCAAUGUUUGCUGAUUCAUGAAUCCAACCCCCACCCGCCCUUCUCUCAUUUUUCCCUUCUCUCCUCCAAAAAAAAAAAAAAGAAAAAGAAAAACAGCUUAACACCCCACCCAUCAUAAAACCAAAAAAAAAAAAAAAGGAAAAGACUAAUAAAUGGGAGGAGUUAAGAGUGAAACGAAAAAAUGAUAAGAGUAGCAAUCUCCUCGAGAAAUAUUUAUAGUUUUUUUUUAUAGAUUCUUUUAUUUACUGCUAUUAUUGACAAAUGAGUUUUUUUUUUUCCUUUUUGAUACUAUAACCAUGAACCAACAAACAUAUUUUAAAGGGUUCAGAAAUUUUAAUGACAUUUGACAAAUGUGGUGUCAAAUCUCAAAAUAGUCUCCACCGGUGAUUUGAUUCCAACUCCUAUCAAAGUUCUUACCAGCAAAGGGACCAACUUUCAACAUACUGGAAGAACUGCCAGCAAUUAGGUGAAACGAAAGAUUAGCGUACCUUUUGGACAACGUUUUACGAGGAGCAAGAAAAGGAAAUGAAGCAUUGUCCAGAAUUUUAAGUCCAACUUUACACCCCAAAAUGGUAAAAAAAAAAAUUAAUUUAAGAAAAAGGGAACCCAACUUUUCAGUGGACCAAACGAAUUUUUUUUUAUUAUUAAUUUUAACUUGCAGGGUUAGAAUAAAAAGAUUCAUUUUGUAUGCAUAUUAAACUGAGGAAAUUGCAGUGACACAGAAACAGAGAAGUGGAUUCAUACUUCUUACCUCAGAUCAGGGGACGACUAAUCAACAGAGAUGGAUUUCAAGUUUCAAGCUUGUGGGGCACCUCUGGAAGAAGAAAGAAAUUAAAAAAAAAAAAGAUGAAAUUUAAUAUAAACUUCUCUAAAAACAUACGAAAAGGAGAUACGGAUUGAAAAAGGUAGAGAAUGUUAAGUAAGAAGUUAUGUGCUGAACCAAAACAAAAAACAAAAAAGAAAGUGAAGCCUCGCAUUAUCAGACGGAGGAAGAAAUUGAUUGGAAAGACAUACUACUAUUAUGAGCUAGGGAAGAAGAGGAAAUAAUAAAUAUAGGAGAUAUAUUCGCUUCUCACCCUUUCUCCUUGAAUCUUCCACUUCCAAACAAAGGUAGAUAUAGGGAGUCCAAGAAAGACAAGAAAACUUAAUAAUGAUUUGACGAACGGGAAAAAUUUUAGAAGUCUGAAUCUCCUCCGGCAAGAGAGAGAGAGAGAGAGAGUUGGAGGGGUGCGAGGAAGGAAGAGAGUGAAGUGAGAGAAGUGGAGAGUUUACAAUAUAUAUGGUUGGAAGUAUUUGACGGUAUCAGCUGAAGGAGAAAGGGGACAGCGGGAAAACACUACAGCCUGACUUUUUGUUAAUCCCAUUCCCACCACCAUUUCUUUCUCUAUCCUUUUGGAGUGUUUCUCAACAUGGGCUGGGGGUGAUUGAUGGGCCGGGGAUUCUUCAACAUUUUGGGGGAUUUUGACCAAGUGCGGGUUCAUAGUGUAUGACAAUACUCCAAAUAGUCCAAACGUGAAAAUUGUGUGACUUUUUCCUUUAUCCCCUUUUGCCUUUCGGUUGGGACUUAGAGCUGGGUAUCCAUUGUUUAUCCAGGUAAUGGGAUUCUUUUGUCUCUUGAGUGACGGAAAAAUCUACAGGGGGCAAAAAUUGACUGGAAAAUAGUUGAUUCUUUCUGGAAUUUUAAUCUCUGAUUGGAGUAACACAAUUCCCUAUGGAUAUAGGUAGGUAAAAUAAUGGCCGAUGCGAUGAAUAAGUUGAUACAUGAAUUUUCCCUUUUCUGUUAUAUUAAUUGUAAUAAGAAGAUGCAAUACGUUGGUAUUUACUACUAAUAAUGUUAAAGCUACUCCUCUUAAGAGGUCUUGGGCAUUAUUAGUCUUUCAAGAUCCCGACUGGUACUGAGAAUGAGAAUUCAGACUCGCAUCACAUAAUUGAGGUACAGAAAUGGACUAAAUGAAAACAUAAACAAGGUGCAAUGCAUUAUGCGUCAUUAAUUAGCCAAAUUAUAAAAAGUGAGUGUCAAAGGUAAACCCAUGCCAAAUUCAGACUUAUCUUCUUCUAAAAUUUAUUAAUUACUUUUUUUUUUAAUUAGCAAGAUCAAAUGUUAGGUUUAGUUUAAGGUUUAGUAGCAUUCUUACAGCAACACCUGUAUAGCAUUUUUGCUACAUAAAAGUGACUUCCAAGUUCCAUCCAGCCAGUUUGAUACUAGUUAUUUUGACGCAACGGAUCUUCUGUCUCACACCCUGUGCCACUCUCUGUGCCACUUUUUACUAUAUUGCUAUUUCUCCUUCACAAAUACCAUGUUUUAGUUCUUUUUUGUUUCCUUAAGAUUCAAUAACUAUUAAUUUAGUAAUACACAAAAUUUAAUAAACAAUAUAAAUAUAACUAAAAUUUAGUUCUUUUUUAGUCCUUUAUAAAUAUCCAAUAACUAAAAUUUAGUUCUUUUUUGACUACUCGGCUGUUGCAGAAUUUUCGGUGAAAAGAUCUCUUAGAACAACAAUUUUAGUGUCGACGGUAAUUGGCAUUUCAAUUUGAUAAGGUUGUUGGCCUAAUCACAUCACAUAUAUAUAUAUUAUAUAUAUGUAUAUAGAGAGAGAGAGCCUUGCUAAUCUUUCUUAUCAAAUAUUUCUGAAUUUAAGACAGUCGUGUAUCCAAACACGACUGUUAGUAGUAUUAGAGAAUGAGCUGAUUUGAGUAAAGAAUGGUUAGGUGUUGCUGCAACCUUUUCGUAAAUAUGCGUUUUGGAGCUGGACGGAAUCUUAUGUUAUGGGUCAUUUACACGUGUUGGAUCAUUUUCAGGGGUCGACAAGAUUUCUUAGAAAGACAAUUGCAGAGCUAUAAAGAUAAAAAAGUUUGGGAAAUAGAAACCCUUCAGGAUAAAGGGCUGAGGUUUUUUGUGCCCAACGUUCCAAUCUUAAAGCACCCCAUAAUAGGGCACAUAUUCCGUUGACAGCAAUCCAAUGAAUGACGUUUCAUUUCAUCAACCAUUUUUCUUUAACAGAUGAAAUUCUUUAUGAUAUGUUUGGAAGAACCCUAAACCUGAAAAAAAAAUCCCCUUAAAUUCUUUAUGUUCUUUUUUUUUUUGUUUUUUUGUGCAAUAAGAAGACAACUACUACAUCUACAUGUUUAAUUCAUGGGGAAAAGAAAAGAAAAGAAAAGAAAAAGAUAAGGAGAACGAGUAUCACACGGUUUCAUCAAACAAUGCAGAAGGAUGGGCUUUUCUUUCUUUUUAAUGGUCAAAUCAUCAAAUUGAAAGAAAAGGAUAGAAACCAAAAGUAGAAUAAGAGAUGGCUGUGGAUCCAAAAAAGAAAGAUAGACUUAACACCUUUCGAUUGGUGGAGAUGAAAUCAAUAGAGACAGACGUGACAUGCUCUUAUUUCAUGCCACGCCCAAAUUUCCCUUCCGCCAUAUUAUUAAUUAAAUUAAUUAUCUGCCUCUUGCUGAGGUUACACAUCUCUUCAGAUCUUUGCUGUGUCUUCCAUUAUUAUAGUGUUGUAGCAGUUUCUUUAAUCUAAAUCGACAGCCUCCCUCAUCACCAGAGAUCGCGUAGCAUCUUGAAUCUACCCCAAAAGAGAAUACAGUCUGAUUUGAUUUGAAGGAGAAUCAGUUCAAAUAUUAGCCCAUUGGCUCCGUUUGGAUUAGCUAUUUUUUGGGGUGUUUUUGAAAAAUUUUACUGUAACAGAGUUUUUAGAGUAUAUUUUGAGAUAUUUUUAGAAAAUAUUUUAAAAUAUUUAAGAGUAGUAGAGUUUUUAAAUAUAUUUUGAGAUUUUUUUAAACAUUAAAAAAAAUUGUUACUACUUUUUACAGUACUUUUUAAAAUUCUUAUAUAGUAUUUGAAAAACUAAUUUAUUCAAAAGUUAGGAGUUUUUCCUCAUGCUGCGUCACCAAUAUCUUUCUCAUAAUUUAGAAGGCCCGAUUGGUAUUUUUACAAGACGGCCAGCUGAGCUAAUUACUGAUCACACGCUUUUCCCCCGCUCAAGGGACUCAAUAAUGUCUAACAGUCCAAAUGUCUCUUUCUUUGGUUAAGAACAACCUAUCAUUUGGGGUUCUUCUUUUUCUUUCUUUUUUUUUUUGGGCUUAAUUAAUUUCAAAAGUUUGACUUUUGUAUUAAUCAAACUUCGAGAAAUCAACUCCCAGUGGAGUUCUUCUUUCUUUAAUCCUUUCUUCUGUCGAUUAUUUGGUUAAACAAAUUUUCGAGCGUCUUGAAUUCCGCUACAUCGCUAUCCGACUUUACGUAUGUAUAUAUACAAGUGGAUUGACAAAUAGGAUUUUUUUUUUUUUGAGAAUGACAAAAAAAAAAUCCUAUUCCAGUUUUGUUUUAUAGAGAAACUUGUUUUCGAGUUUUGAAUGCUUUUUGCGCCCUUUUGGGUGCUAGAGCAUCCAUUCAUGGUGGGCAAAGAGAAAACAUUAAUUGAACCUUUUGCAAGAGAAACCAAUAGUCAUUGGACCAGUUGGUAGUCCUUGAUGUCAGGCUUUUGCGUUCCCAGAUCUUUGCAUGGGCGGCGGACAGACCAUUUCGCAAGCCCAAACUGAAGAACGAGACGAGAUUAUAUAAGGGGUUUCUUCAAAAUAAAUAAAUACCCCUAACUAGAUUAUAUAAGGGGCAAAAUUUUCUCAUUGCGCUGUGGUUGUAGUUUUGUUGUGGGGUUGUUGUAGCAAGCAAUUUUUUGCAUCCUUAAAAGAUGGUGUCGCGUACAGAAUAAUAUGAGCUGAUUUGUCAACAUGUCAGAUCUGUUGCUUAGACCUGGCAUCCUUCACUUCUUUUUGGGCAGCCUUUUAAUGUUUUGUUGCAAAAAUGCGGCAAGUAAACUCUUUUUUCUUUUGCUUUUUUAAUAUCAGCUGGCGCCGCGGAAUAUAAAAGCAAUACGAGGAGCCAACCGCUGCUUUUCGAUUUUCAUAUACAGAAGACUCUUUCAUUCUAAUAAUCAAGAAACCGAACAAAGCUUAGAUGUGGAUUAUCCUCAACUGACCGAUGUUCCUCCUUGAUUAUUAAGAAGCAAAAGCCCAACGGCUGUUAAUCGCAUGCAGGGAGUGAUCUGAACUUUCAACUUAAAUGCAGUUUGCAUAGCAUAUUAAAGUCGCACGCUGUAUAUAUAUAUAUUUAACAAUAACAUUUCUUCUCAAAAAGCAAGAUUCAAAUGUUCAUAACAUGAAUUUACUCAAACAAGAUAACUAGACAGACUUCAAAAUUUUUCAGAAAAGCCUUCCAGCCGAACAUUAACAAGCCAACUCAAGUUCCAGCUUUCCGGCGACCAACACGAGCAACAAAUCCUGCUUUAAUUGGAGCAACUGACCUUCCAGAACCACACUGCAAUGAAAAAAACAGACGAGUAAUUUCAGAAAGAUAUUCACAAGGCAAUAGUAAAGAAGAUAAAACUCGAAAAUAGAAUAAACAAAUCCAUCAGGAGCUGUUCCUUAAUUUUCACGAGUAACCAAAAGUUCAUUGGGACUGCAAUUCUGCAACCAAAAGUUG
rnacentral:lncRNA from 1 species